rnacentral:rRNA from 1 species
UACGAAGGGGGCUAGCGUUGUUCGGAAUCACUGGGCGUAAAGCGCACGUAGGCGGAUUGUUAAGUCGGGGGUGAAAUCCUGAGGCUCAACCUCAGAACUGCCUUCGAUACUGGCAAUCUCGAGUCCGGAAGAGGUUGGUGGAACAGCUAGUGUAGAGGUGAAAUUCGUAGAUAUUAGCUAGAACACCAGUGGCGAAGGCGGCCAACUGGUCCGGUACUGACGCUGAGUGAGCGAAAGCCAGGGGAGCAAACGGG